AAACCAAAUGUUAUACUAAAGAAAUAAAACAAAAACAUUAAAUAUUGUUGCAAUAAACAAUCAUCUUGCAUCUAAUAGAAAAUCAGACUCAUUUAUAAUCAUUGAUGAAUGAGACUCAUAUGCAUUCAAGAAAAACCAUUUAAUCCCUCGUAUUCCUAACAAAAAGCACCUUAAAGUUAUAUUCAAAGGUGAUAUAUAUGGCUUAGUACAUUCUAACUUUAAUUAUUACAACGGUAACCUUUCAAAAAUAUGAAUAAGACCACCUUGAGAGAAUCAUUCUUUGAGAUCACUCAAAACAUCAACAACAUUCUCCAUGAAAACGAAGAACUGAGCAACUAAA
rnacentral:lncRNA from 1 species